rnacentral:rRNA from 1 species
GGAAUUUUGGACAAUGGGCGCAAGCCUGAUCCAGCAAUGCCGCGUGAGUGAAGAAGGCCUUCGGGUUGUAAAGCUCUUUUGUCAGGGAAGAAACGGUGGGAGCUAAUAUCUCCUGCUAAUGACGGUACCUGAAGAAUAAGCACCGGCUAACUACGUGCCAGCAGCCGCGGUAAUACGUAGGGUGCAAGCGUUAAUCGGAAUUACUGGGCGUAAAGCGUGCGCAGGCGGUUUUGUAAGUCUGAUGUGAAAUCCCCGGGCUCAACCUGGGAAUUGCAUUGGAGACUGCAAGGCUAGAAUCUGGCAGAGGGGGGUAGAAUUCCACGUGUAGCAGUGAAAUGCGUAGAUAUGUGGAGGAACACCGAUGGCGAAGGCAGCCCCCUGGGUCAAGAUUGACGCUCAUGCACGAAAGCGUGGGGAGCAAACAGGAUUAGAUACCCCAG